AUUGAACGCUGGCGGCAGGCCUAACACAUGCGAGUCGAACGGUAACAGGAAGCAGCUUGCUGCUUCGCUGACGAGUGGCGGACGGGUGAGUAAUGUCUGGGAAACUGCCUGAUGGAGGGGGAUAACUACUGGAAACGGUAGCUAAUACCGCAUAACGUCGCAAGACCAAAGAGGGGGACCUUCGGGCCUCUUGCCAUCGGAUGUGCCCAGAUGGGAUUAGCUAGUAGGUGGGGUAACGGCUCACCUAGGCGACGAUCCCUAGCUGGUCUGAGAGGAUGACCAGCCACACUGGAACUGAGACACGGUCCAGACUCCUACGGGAGGCAGCAGUGGGGAAUAUUGCACAAUGGGCGCAAGCCUGAUGCAGCCAUGCCGCGUGUAUGAAGAAGGCCUUCGGGUUGUAAAGUACUUUCAGCGAGGAGGAAGGGAGUAAAGUUAAUACCUUUGCUCAUUGACGUUACCCGCAGAAGAAGCACCGGCUAACUCCGUG
rnacentral:rRNA from 1 species